rnacentral:rRNA from 1 species
AGUGAACGCUGGCGGUAGGCCUAACACAUGCAAGUCGAACGGCAGCACAGUAAGAGCUUGCUCUUACGGGUGGCGAGUGGCGGACGGGUGAGGAAUACAUCGGAAUCUACUUUUUCGUGGGGGAUAACGUAGGGAAACUUACGCUAAUACCGCAUACGACCUACGGGUGAAAGCAGGGGAUCUUCGGACCUUGCGCGAUUGAAUGAGCCGAUGUCGGAUUAGCUAGUUGGCGGGGUAAAGGCCCACCAAGGCGACGAUCCGUAGCUGGUCUGAGAGGAUGAUCAGCCACACUGGAACUGAGACACGGCCAGACUCCUACGGGAGGCAGCAGUGGGGAAUAUUGGACAAUGGGCGCAAGCCUGAUCCAGCCAUACCGCGUGGGUGAAGAAGGCCUUCGGGUUGUAAAGCCCUUUUGUUGGGAAAGAAAAGCAGCAGGUUAAUACCCCGCUGUUCUGACGGUACCCAAAGAAUAAGCACCGGCUAACUUCGUG